UGAGAGUUCAAGAGUACGUGAAACCGCUUAGUAGUAAACAGAGGGGCUCUCGAAGUCGGCGGUGACGGUUCAGGGUGACGGCGGGGCGGCCUGGGGGCUUGGGAUUAGCAAUAACCCUGUCCCUUUGUUGGCUCUGUCGGCGCCUGCACUUCGUUGCCGCCAUACGCGACGAACCGUUUUUGACGGACCGAGGGCGUGGGUGAAGUUUGCGGGCUUCGGCCUUCAAGCCCCGCGUUCCUGGCUCUGUCGGGGACGGGUAGUGGAGCGAUCUCUUAUAGAGAGUGUCCUUGUUGGCACGGUUCGCAUCUCUGUCGCGAGUAGGUCGGCGGCCCCUCUGACCCGUCUUGAAACACGGAC
rnacentral:rRNA from 1 species